GAUGAACGCUGGCGGCGUGCCUAAUACAUGCAAGUCGAGCGAACGGACGAGAAUCUUGCGGCUCUGAUGUUAGCGGCGGACGGGUGAGUAACACGUGGAUAACCUACCUAUAAGACUGGUAUAACUUCGGGAAACCGGAUCUAAUACCGUAUAAUAUUUUGAACCGCAUGGUUCAAAAGUGAAAUACGGUCUUGCGGUCACUAAUAGAGGGAUCCGCGCUGCAUGAGCUAGUUGGUAAGUUAACGGCUUACCAAGGGAACGAUGCAUAGACGAAGUCAGAGAGUGAUAGGCGACCUGGGAAGUGGGACACGGUCAAGGCGACUGAGGGACGCACCAGUCGGCAACGUUCCGCAAUGGGCGAAAGCAUGACGGAGCAACGGCGAGUGAGUGAUGGAGGUCCUCGGAGCGGAAAGAUCUGUUAUUAGGGAAAAACAUAUGUGUACGUAACUGUGCAGAUCGUGACGGUAACUAAUCAGAAAGCACCGGCUAACUACGUG
rnacentral:rRNA from 1 species